GACGAACGCUGGCGGCGUGCCUAACACAUGCAAGUCGAGCGGGGUUACUGGCAGUUAGCUUGCUAACAGCCAUUAACCUAGCGGCGGACGGGUGAGUAACGCGUGAGCAACCUGCCUUGUACAGGGGGAUAACAAGUGGAAACACUUGCUAAUACCGCAUAAGACCACACUAUCGCAUGAUAGAGAGGUAAAAGGGAAUAACCGGUACAAGAUGGGCUCGCGUCCCAUUAGCUAGUUGGUAAGGUAAAGGCUUACCAAGGCGACGAUGGGUAGCCGACCUGAGAGGGUGACCGGCCACACUGGGACUGAGACACGGCCCAGACUCCUACGGGAGGCAGCAGUGGGGGAUAUUGCGCAAUGGGGGGAACCCUGACGCAGCGACGCCGCGUGAGCGAAGAAGGUUUUCGGAUCGUAAAGCUCUGUCUUUGGGGAAGAAGGAAGUGACGGUACCCAAGGAGGAAGCCCCGGCUAACUAC
rnacentral:rRNA from 1 species